GGUCUCAGUGCCUCCAGUAGCUCUCGUCCCAGAUAGAGAUAAGGUUGGUAUUGGGCGCGAGUUUCUAAAAAAAAAAAAAAAAUCGUGGUAUUGCCUAAAACCACUUAUGGUAUAACGGUAUUGAGAUUUCAAAAUUUUACGUCACAUCUUCCGUUAAACCGUGCAAAAAACACAUAUUGCAAUCAUAGAUGGGAUUGGAUGAGAAUUGAAGAGGUUGGAAUUAGAGACGAGCCAAAUCUAUUAACAUCCAUAAUUUUACGAUUGCAAUACGUGUCACUAACACAAUGAAAUUUUGAAAUUUCAAAACCACAAUGCUUUUCAAAAUACCACGGUUUUCAUUUUAGAAACCCGCACCCACUACUUUUCUGCCCUUUCACUCUCAGAAGAAGAGAAAAAAAAAAGGGGAAAAUGAAAUCGCAGAGCUUCUCCCCGUCGGCCUCGGAUCUCCUAGAUCGACAGCCGGCCUCGGAUCGAGUUUCCCGUCCAUCGACAACCCUCGCGAAGAACAACCCCCAAAUCGCCCAAACGAACUGAUACAAUGUCAACUUGUAGCGUGAAUGACAACAACCAAGAAUAUUAAAGCUUGUGAACUUAAGGUGUGUAAUUGUGGAGUAAGAGCAGCGGUAAAGAUUUCAGAGUCUAAUAACAACAAACACAGACUAUUACAAAUGCUCUAAGUUAGAAAAUGGAUCUCGAUUCUUCUCUUGGUGUGAUCCAAUUGAAGUUCCAAGAGAGACUCAAAAUCCUAUUGAAUUGCAACAUUUGAUGGAGAUGAUGCGGAGUAUGGGAUUGAUAUUGAAAAGGCUGGACAAGUUUAAUGAAUCACUUGUGUCUGUUGGUCAUGUUGUAUUGAUGUGUUUUGCGCUAUUCGUUAUAGCGUAUAUUGUUAAAAAAUUAUGAAAAUACAUUUGCAAUGCAGGAUUGAUAUAUGCAUUUACCUACAUUAUAUUUCCA